rnacentral:rRNA from 1 species
AUAAAGAAAGUAAAAAAGGGCGCAUGGCGGAUGCCUUGGCUCUCGGAGGCGAUGAAGGACGUGAUAAGCUG